GGAGAAUCUCUGUAAAAUGUACAUUUUUUGACGUAAUAAAAAACUGAGUUAAACUGAGAACUUGGACGUCUCCAGCUCAUCAUUCCCCAUCAAAGACUGCGCAGAAAUAAUUGAUUGAGUCCCCAGCUGACUCAGGAGGUGAUGCUGGAUGAGGUGAGUGAUGCGGUCCUGGUGGACAUGCUGUGGGAAACCCAGAUGUACCUGUACGAGAAGAGGGAAACCCUCCAGUCCCUGGCAAAGGUGCUACUGGACAAAUGAAAGCACAAGAACAUCCAAAGGAGAGGCUGCAAACAUGGAACCAUGAGAGCAAAAGGAGAUGGAGAAUAUAAUGAGGAAAGGAAAGUCAAAAAGUGAUUGUAGGCACAAAGAUUGGUGAAAACUUGUGUCUGAAACAAGACUGUAAUGUCUGUGUUUGUUUGCUCUUUCUUUCAAACUCCUCAACGUGGUCACAAUGACUCGUAUAUAUUCUCCGAAAUGUCAGUACACAGUAGCAAAA